UUAAAGGAAUUGACGGGGAGCACUACAACGGGUGGAGCUUGCGGUUUAAUUGGAUUCAACGCCGGAAAUCUUACCGGGACCGACAGCAAUAUGAAGGCCAGGCUGAAGACUUUGCCGGAUUAGCUGAGAGGUGGUGCAUGGCCGUCGUCAGUUCGUACUGUGAAGCAUCCUGUUAAGUCAGGCAACGAGCGAGACCCACGCCCACAGUUGCCAGCGUACUCUCUGGAGUGACGGGUACACUGUGGGACCGCCGCUGCUAAAGCGGAGGAAGGAAUGGGCAACGGUAGGUCAGUAUGCCCCGAAUAUCCCGGGCUACACGCGAGCUACAAUGGUUGGUACAAUGGGUAUCUACCCCGAAAGGGGACGGGAAUCUCCUAAAACCAAUCUUAGUUCGGAUUGAGGGCUGCAACUCGCCCUCAUGAAGCUGGAAUCCGUAGUAAUCGCGUUUCAACAGAACGCGGUGAAUACGUCCCUGCUCCUU
rnacentral:rRNA from 1 species